UACAGGGGGUGCAAACGUUGCUCGGAAUCACUGGGCGUAAAGCGCACGUAGGCGGAUUUCUAAGUCAGGGGUGAAAUCCUGGAGCUCAACUCCAGAACUGCCUUUGAUACUGGGAAUCUCGAGUCCGGGAGAGGUGAGUGGAACUGCGAGUGUAGAGGUGAAAUUCGUAGAUAUUCGCAAGAACACCAGUGGCGAAGGCGGCUCACUGGCCCGGUACUGACGCUGAGGUGCGAAAGCGUGGGGAGCGAACAGG
rnacentral:rRNA from 1 species